GACGUAGGGCGCGAGCGUUGUCCGGAUUUAUUGGGCGUAAAGAGCUCGUAGGCGGUUUGUCGCGUCUGCUGUGAAAACCCGAGGCUCAACCUCGGCCUGCAGUGGGUACGGGCAGACUAGAGUGCGGUAGGGAGAUUGGAAUUCCUGGUGUAGCGGUGGAAUGCGCAGAUAUCAGGAGGAACACCAAUGGCGAAGGCAGAUCUCUGGGCCGUAACUGACGCUGAGGAGCGAAAGCAUGGGGAGCGAACAGG
rnacentral:rRNA from 1 species